rnacentral:lncRNA from 1 species
CUUUCUAUUAUCAUCGAUUUUUCUUAUUUGUUCUUAAAUUAGGAACACAAAAAGUGUUUUGAUUUUUGGCCUUUUCAAAUUUAUCCUCAGUAUCACCAAUAUUUUUUAUUUGCUCUUAAGUUAAGGAUAAAAAAAAGCAUUUUAAUUUUUUUCAACUUUUGAUAAAUACCGCCAAAGCCUAGUUAAUUCAACGACGGUAACUAUAGAGGUAUUUUAGAAUAACGAAGGAACAUAUGAAGAAUAUAUUAAAAAAAAAAGAAUAAAUAAAAUAUUUUUAAAAUUUUGAGGAAUAUAUAGACAAUUAUCUCAUUUUAAAUCUAUCCUCCUAAAACUUCCAAAUGUCUUAAAUAUACCAUCAAAAUCUCUAUAAAUAUAGAAAUUUAUCAGCAAUAUCUUUCUAAAUGUAUAAAACUAUCACCGAAGCCUUCUAAUAGACAAGCCGAAUAUGAGCUCACUAGUGACCAACAAGUUAAAUUAUCAGUCCCACUGCUGAAUGAGAAAUUUUUUAAAAAUAAAUAAAUAAUUAAAAUUUUAAUUUAAUAAUUAUAAUUUAUAAAAUACAAAUUUCUUUACAUUCGGGUUGACCUAAGAUUUAAAUAGUAGAAAUUUGAAAUACAUAUUCAAAGCAUAUCAAGCCGAAUACGAGCGAGCUGAUCUCAAUUCGUGUACAGUUUAUUAAGAUUUUAAGUUAAAAAAAUUCGGUUAAAAUUUAAUUUUUUUGUAAAACGAACUA